GGGGAAUAUUGCACAAUGGGCGCAAGCCUGAUGCAGCGACGCCGCGUGAGGGAUGACGGCCUUCGGGUUGUAAACCUCUUUCAGUAGGGACGAAGCGAAAGUGACGGUACCUACAGAAGAAGGACCGGCCAACUACGUGCCAGCAGCCGCGGUAAUACGUAGGGUCCGAGCGUUGUCCGGAAUUACUGGGCGUAAAGAGCUCGUAGGUGGUUUGUCGCGUUGUUCGUGAAAACUCACAGCUUAACUGUGGGCGUGCGGGCGAUACGGGCAGACUAGAGUACUGCAGGGGAGACUGGAAUUCCUGGUGUAGCGGUGGAAUGCGCAGAUAUCAGGAGGAACACCGGUGGCGAAGGCGGGUCUCUGGGCAGUAACUGACGCUGAGGAGCGAAAGCGUGGGUAGCGAACA
rnacentral:rRNA from 1 species